AUGGUGGACAUGGACGGGGUGACGGAUACAGCUGGCUGGCAGUGGUACUGCUUAUAUGAGAGCCGGCUUGAACUGUUUAAAUGCGACGCAUCAGGAUCACAUGGAACAAUUCCCAUAUUCAUUAUAGUAUGUCUGGGACAACUCCAGCCAUUGUUUCAAGACAACUUCGUAUUUGAGAUAGUUAAUGUGUUUUAGCUCUUUUUAAUAUGAUUUAGUAGCUGGGUGUAAAAACAACAAAUCAGACAUGCUAUCAGCCAAUUCACUGAAUGCAGGAGUUUGGAAAUCUUGCCUGUACAGACCCUUGUCUUUCACACACUCAUUCAGUGAGGUGAGCCCCCCCCAUCACUCUCUGGAGAGAACCGCAGCCCUUCCCUGUGCCUGCAGCCCCUUCUCCCCAGGCUGAAAAGGCCAGCAGGACAAGAGUGCCCUGGCUCAGGCUUCUGCCCCAGGGCCCCGUGUUGCUGCAGGUGAGCUCAGACCACGCUUCCAGGUUUAGAGGUCCACACCUUGAUGUUCUCACAGGGAAAAUGUAAGUAUUUGUAUUAGGUCAUGUAAUUUUGUAUUGGUGUGUUGUGCAAUUUACAGAUAGUAAUUUCUAUUCAUUUCUGGCUGGUAUGAUGUCCAGCACUGUGUGGAUGUUAUUAUCCAUACAAUGGCAGAUCUGAAGAGGGCUUGGGAGCCCAGCACUCAGCUGGGACAAAUCAACAUUGCUGUAUUUAUGUGAGAGAAGUGAUAUUGUUUUACCAUAGCUACAACACAUCCAUUUCUGAGCAUGUUUGCUAUUGUUAAUACUCACCUUGGUGAUAACUAGAUAACUGUGCAGUUACUCACAAAAUUUCUUGCUUGCAUUUUUACAGUCUUUCCCCUUCCCACCUCCUACCUCCUCUGCUUGGCCACAGUUAUUUAUACAGCUUGGUAUUGCUUUUCAUUAAAUAUAUCUUUUCCAAAUGUCUGUUUAGGUUUACCUGAACUUUAUGGGACUGUCUUGGAAAUGUUGAAUAAAAUUCUGACUUUCAUCUCUUGUCUAGACUUC
rnacentral:lncRNA from 1 species